CCUCCAUGGAUCCAGACCAUUUAUUGUUAUUUCAAGCAAUUUGCAAUACUUCAUAUAUUAAUUAAUGAUAGAAGGAGGCUGGAAAUCCUCUUCCCAGGGUGUGCUACAGUAUCACACUAGCUCAGCUGCUGCAGCAGAGUCCCCAGAAUGUCUAGGAAGAGGCCGACAAGGUGGAGCUGAACUACAAGUUCUUAAAUUAAGAACACAAAACAAAACACAACCAACUUUUCAUUGGAAGAGCUACAAGACUGUAUUUGUCCUUAAAAAUGUCUUUGAUCAGAAACCCAGAGAUCUGUCAAAUCACAAUACAAAAACAAAUGCUGUGAACAGUUUCAGCAGGAAGAGCUCUGUUGGCAGGAAUGCUGAGCUCCGGAUAUUGAGCUCUUUGAUCUUUCCACUUUACCUUUCAGGAGAUGAAAGGAAAUUCUGCUCUUGUAUGGCACAAACAUGGGGGUACAAAAGACUAUUUUACUGUAAGAAUUCCUAGAUCAACCUAGACUAAAGGAAGACUGCCUCUCCCUCCAUCUCAGCCUUGAUUAUAUCUACCCUUGGAGAAGUAAUCCAAAACUAUUAAGGGUGACAGGGUUUCCUGUCACUCCCUUCCCAUGCUUUCUGACAACAGCCUGCUUUCUGUUCAAGCUUGUGCACCAUCACCCCUGCAUUCAGGUGCUUCUCUGCUUUCCCUCUAUUCCCACUCUGAUACUUUAAGAUCCAAGCCCUCUGCCGGUGAAGUGCUGCACUGUGUCCCAGAACGACCCUUUCCAAAUUCCUUGCCACGAAGUCAUCCAGUGAAAUACAGAGAGAGCCUGUUACAAUGCCACUCCACCCCGAGUGCUCUCCCUUCUGCUGUCUCCAGUAAAAUUCCUACUUCCAGAGUGGAAAAUUUCAUUUCAAACUUCCAUAAAGUUGCAGUGAAAUGAAAACAGAAGAAGCUAACAGAACCUGAUGUACUAUUUUGGAAACCCUGACCCUCAAUGUAGCUUCUUGCCAGAACACACUUGUCACAAAAAUGUUAUUUGCAAGUAAGUCAACAUUGCCCCAAACAGUUUUCUGUCACAACUCAGACUAAGCAAAUAGCAUCACCUCUUCUGGUUUUUUUUAGAUGCCUUAGGGCUUUUGUUUAUCACAUUAAAGAUUCCCAAAAACACUCACAGAGCUGAAUCUUUCUGUAUGUGCUUUUAAGUCCAGAAUUUAAAGUGAUUUGUAAUCAAUUUACAUUAGAAGAACCAGCAUUAGAAGAGCAUAUUGCUUCAAGUCAAACACUGAUUCUUUCCUCCUCAUAUAUUAAGUUAACUCAAUCUUGUCUGUUCAGCCUAUUGUAAAUUAUUGUGACCAAAAACAUGUUGCAUGCUAAUUCUGGUCUUAGCAUUACUGGAAAGAUAUAAAAACAUUUUAAAUUUUUUUCUUUCUAUUAAAUACUAACCAUUACAUUGAGAAAGCAGAUUUUUUUUUUUGUACUUUUCAAUCAGUACAACUCCUUAGACUCCUUUUGCUCAGACCCAGGAAACAAACCAUCUAUUUCAGAAAUACUUUGAUAUCAAAUUGCCUUCAUGUUACAUUUUAACCUGGCUAAGUUCACUUUAAGGUUUGCUAGGAAGUUAUGGAAUUAUGAUUCUACAUUUACCAUUUAGAUUGGUUAUACAUUAACAGCCCUGCUGUCUCCCUUAUUCCAUCUGUUCAGAGAGAACCCCCUUUCUGCCAGGUCUAUACAACCUCCUCAGAGGGACCACUCACAUCCCAGAUCUACUCAGACAUCUGAAAAACUCUCACAGGAAUAUGCAAGAAAGCCACCCAAUUUUAGCCACUGCUUUUACCAGCACCCAAAUGCAUUCUGUGAACAGUCUUGAGCAGCUCUCAGGUGGCAAAAGCUUUAAAACCACUGCAAGUAUUGUGAAAAACACAAAGGGACAAACACACCUCGUAAAACAGAAAUUCAGGUAUCAGUCUAUUUUUCUGUACUCCCUGAACAAAGCAUUAAGUUUCUGAUCUGCUAGUACAGUGACAAAGGAUUUUCUUGGAAACCCAUUUUUAGUAUAUUUGCCAAUGGUAUCUUGUACAAGCACAGAAUUCCUUCCUGCAUCAUGUGCUCCCUGCUGGAGAGGGCAAGUUUUCUACUGCUUAUUAAAGCAAUCCCAUGGGAUGUUGUGCAGGCUUCAAGUCUUCAGUGAAAUCAGUUUUCUACUAGCAAAAGUAUACUAUCACCUCAGUAAGAUAAAAUCUGAAUCAAACAUGACUGUAUUGCUUGUCAGAACCAAACCAGUUCUAGUUAAAGAGAGGCACAGACAGACUCACUGGCCACAGGCUUAACCAUGAGAACAGCAGGCAGCUCCCAGGGCACACGUAAGAAGUCAACAUCAAUGGAUGACUUUGUGGGGGAUGGUAAUUUUCUUGCUUUUGUGUAAUCUCUAGAGACAGCUGAUAUUAUACAGCUGCCCCAGCAUUACCACCAUUAGAGAAUUACUGAAAUAACCAUCUCAUUACACACAGUAAUGAAACUGUAUUUUAUUAUAAGCAAAACAGCUUUUAUAUCACCAAGAAACCAGGAUCUAUACACUUUUCAAGAGCUACCCAUGUAGAAAUCACUUAGAAAUCAACUUAUACUUCCAAUUAGAGGGGAAAAAAAAAAAAGUAUGGAGUGUUACAAAGAAAUAAAAUCAACUCCAAUCAUAACCA
ensembl:lncRNA